UAAGCUCUGCGUUGCACCUGCUGUAC
rnacentral:piRNA from 1 species